UAUCGAGGUUUUCCUCGGUAGUUAACUGCAGUCGAUUUUGGACUUCCUCGACAGUUAACUAUCGAAGGGUAU
rnacentral:pre_miRNA from 1 species